rnacentral:rRNA from 1 species
UACGUAGGGUGCAAGCGUUGUCCGGAAUUAUUGGGCGUAAAGAGCUCGUAGGCGGCUUGUCGCGUCGGCUGUGAAAACCCGCAGCUCAACUGCGGGCUUGCGGUCGAUACGGGCAGGCUGGAGUUCGGUAGGGGAGACUGGAAUUCCUGGUGUAGCGGUGAAAUGCGCAGAUAUCAGGAGGAACACCGGUGGCGAAGGCGGGUCUCUGGGCCGAUACUGACGCUGAGGAGCGAAAGCGUGGGGAGCGAACAGG